rnacentral:rRNA from 1 species
CCUACUGCUAUCGGGGUGGGACUAAGACAUGCGAGUCGAGCGUCUCUAGCCAUGUUGAGACGCGGCAGACGGCUCAGUAACACGUGGCUAACCUACCCUCAGGACAGGGACAAACCCGGGAAACUGGGGCUAAUACCAGAUAGGCGAGGGCGCCUGGAAUGGUUCUUCGCCCAAAGGGCUUUGAAAGCAUGCUCUUCAAAGUCGCCUGGGGAUGGGGCCGCGUCCGAUCAGGUUGUUGGUGUGGUAACGGCUCACCAAGCCUAUAACCGGUACGGGCCGUGAGAGCGGUAGCCCGGAGAUGGGCACUGAGACAAGGGCCCAGGCCCUACGGGGCGCAGCAGUCGCGAAAACUCCGCAAUGCACGAAAGUGUGACGGGGCUACCCCGAGUGCCGUCCGCUGAGGAUGGCUUUUCCCCGGUGUAACUAGCCGGGGGAAUAAGGAGAGGGCAAGACUGGUGUCAGCCGCCGCGGUAAUACCAGCUCUCCGAGUUGUAGGGAUGAUUAUUGGGCUUAAAGCGUCCGUAGCCGGUUUAGCAAGUCUCCUGUUAAAUUCAGCGACCUAAUCGUUGAGCCGCGGGAGAUACUACUAUGCUAGGAGGCGGGAGAGGUCGACGGUACUUCCGGGGUAGGGGUGAAAUCCUAUAAUCCCGGGAGGACCACCAGUGGCGAAGGCUGUCGGCUAGAACGCGCUCGACGGUGAGGGACGAAAGCCGGGGGAGCGAACCGGAUUAGAUACCCGGGUAGUCCCAGCUGUAAACGAUGCGGGCUAGGUGUUGGGGUGGCUACGAGCCACUUCAGUGCCGCAGGGAAGCCAUUAAGCCCGCCGCCUGGGGAGUACGGCCGCAAGGCUGAAACUUAA